rnacentral:rRNA from 1 species
AAUCAACGCUGGCGGCGUGCCUAACACAUGCAAGUCGCACGAGAAAGUGGAGCAAUCCAUGAGUAAAGUGGCGCACGGGUGAGUAACACGUGACUAACCUACCUUUGAGUGGGGAAUAACCUCGGGAAACCGGGGCUAAUACCGCAUAACACUUACGAGUCAAAGCCGAAAGGCGCUUAAAGAGGGGGUCGCGGCUGAUUAGCUAGUUGGUAGGGUAAUGGCCUACCAAGGCGACGAUCAGAUCCGGCCUGAGAGGGCGCACGGACACACUGGAACUGAAACACGGUCCAGACUCCUACGGGAGGCAGCA